rnacentral:rRNA from 1 species
UAGUUGGUUAGGUAAUGGCUUACCAAGCCGUUGAUCGGUAMGGGUUGUGAGAGCAAGAGCCCGGAGAUGGAACCUGACACAAGGUUCCAGGCCCUACGGGGUGCAGCAGGCGCGAAACCUCCGCAAUGUGAGAAAUCGYGACGGGGGGAUCCCAAGUGCCAUUCUUAACGGGAUGGCUUUUCGUUAGUGUAAAGAGCUUUUGGAAUAAGGGCUGGGCAAGACCGGUKCCAGCCGCCGCGGUAACWCCGGCAGCUCUAGUGGUAGCAGUUUUUAUUGGGCCUAAAGCGUCCGUAGCCGGUUUAAUAAGUCUCUGGUGAAAUCYUGUAGCUUAGCUGUGGGAAUUGCUGGAGAUACUAUUAGACUUGAGACCGGGAGAGGUUAGAGGUACUCCCAGGGUAGAGGUGAAAUUCUGUAUUCCUGGUGGAACCGCCUGUUGCGAAGGCGUCUAACUGGAACGGUUCUGACGGUGAGGGACGAAAGUUAGGGGC